rnacentral:rRNA from 1 species
UACGAGGGGUCCUAGCGUUGUUCGGAAUCAUUGGGCGUAAAGCGGGUGUAGGUGGCUUAGUCAGUCAGAAGUGAAAGCCCUGGGCUCAACCCAGGAAGUGCUUUUGAUACUGCUAAGCUUGAGUAUGGGAGAGGGCAGUAGAAUUCCAUGUGUAGUGGUGAAAUACGUAGAUAUAUGGAGGAAUACCGGUGGCGAAGGCGGCUGCCUGGCCCAAUACUGACACUCAGACCCGAAAGCGUGGGGAGCAAACAGG